AUGGUGCGUGAAAGGUGGGAUGCUAUUGUGUCUCAGGUGGGCCCCCAAAGGGGCCCGACUGAAUUCUGGUCGGUAGAUGCGGCUAGGCUGCGUGCGUUCCUCAGGGGUUGGGGAGCGAAUUUUGGUAGCGAAUCCAAAAAGGAGCGUGCCAAGCUUGUGGAUCAAAUCACAACGCUUGACGCGGAAGCGGAUGUUCGAGUCUUCUCCGAGCAGGAGUGGGCUCUGAGAUAUGCGCUGGAAGACCAAGUGCUCUCCAUUCUGAGAGCUGAAGAGGAGUAUUGGCGCCGUAGGGGCGGCAUCAAGUGGGUGACCAAAGGCGACGCAAAUACAGGUUACUUCCACGCGUUCGCCAACGGGAGAAAACGUAAAUGUGCUAUUCUUCGCCUUAAUCAUGGGGAUAGGGUAUUGGUCACCCAGGCGGAGAUCUGUGAGCAUAUUUAUGACUUCUUCAUUGGCCUAUUGGGGACGGCUGAGGAGAAGCGGCUUUGCCUUCGGGAGGACCUGUGGGGUCCUACCGAGCGGGUCUCACAGGAAGAAAAUGCAGGACUUGUACUGCCUUUCCUUCCGGAGGAGAUUGACCGUGCGCUGGCCUCUAUGAAAACGGGCACGGCCCCGGGCCCUGAUGGGUGGCCGGUAGAGUUUUUCAGAAAAUUCUGGCCCAGUCUGAAGCAUGUGUUUCACGCAAUCGUCAAUGGCUUUGCGUUGGGCCAAGUGGACCUGGCCCGUUUAAAUUUUGGGGUGAUUACUCUCAUCCCCAAAGUUAAGGGCGCGGACAGCAUCAAGUUAUUUAGACCUAUCACGCUU
rnacentral:rRNA from 1 species